rnacentral:rRNA from 1 species
GUGAACCUGCGGAAGGAUCAUUAAAAGAUGUGAAUGCGGACCCGGGGCUCGCCCCGUCGGUCCGCAUACCUUCCAACCCUCUGUUGUUAUAACUACCUUGUYGCUUUGGCGGGACCGUUCGGUCCUCCGAGCGCACCAGUCCUCUCGGACAGGUGAGCGCCCGCCGGAGUCCAACCAAACUCUUGUUUUUAACCAGUCGUCUGAGUAUAAAAUUUUAAUUAAAUUAAAACUUUCAACAACGGAUCUCUUGGUUCUCGCAUCGAUGAAGAACGCAGCGAAAUGCGAUAAGUAAUGUGAAUUGCAGAAUUCAGUGAAUCAUCGAAUCUUUGAACGCACAUUGCGCCCCUUGGUAUUCCGAGGGGCAUGCCUGUUCGAGCGUCAUUACACCACUCAAGCACCGCUUGGUAUUGGGCACCGUCCGUCGAAAGGCGGGCGUGCCUCGAAGACCUCGGCGGGGUUUCUCCAACUUCGGGCGUAGUAGAGUUAAAUCGAACGUCUUAUAAGCUUGGUGGGACUCCAUUGCCGUUAAACCUUUUAUUUUCUAGGUUGACCUCGGAUCAGGUAGG